rnacentral:rRNA from 1 species
UACGUAGGGUGCAAGCGUUGUCCGGAAUUAUUGGGCGUAAAGAGCUCGUAGGCGGUUUGUCGCGUCUGCUGUGAAAACCCGAGGCUCAACCUCGGGCCUGCAGUGGGUACGGGCAGACUAGAGUGCGGUAGGGGAGAUUGGAAUUCCUGGUGUAGCGGUGAAAUGCGCAGAUAUCAGGAGGAACACCGGUGGCGAAGGCGGGUCUCUGGGCCGUAACUGACGCUGAGGAGCGAAAGCAUGGGGAGCGAACAGG